rnacentral:lncRNA from 1 species
UCUUCCUGGAGCACUUGCUGUCGGACCACAUCUCUCUCUCCACUGGCUCCUUCCUGUUGGGCAUCUCCUAUGUUGCUCCUCAUCUCAACAACCUGUACUUCCUGCCCCUGUGCCGGCGCUGGGGUGUCUAUGCGGUGGUGCGGGGGCUUCUCCUGCUCAAGCUGAGCCUAAGCCUCCUCAUGCUGCUGGCUGGCCCAGACCACCCUGGCCUGCUUUGCUUCUUCAUUGCCAGCAACCGUGUCUUCACCGAGGGUACCUGUAAGCUGCUGACCCUCGUGGUCACUGACCUGGUGGAUGAGGACCUGGUGCUGAACCAUCGGAAGCAGGCAGCCUCGGCGCUUCUCUUUGGCAUGGUCGCCCUGGUAACCAAACCCGGCCAGACCUUUGCCCCACUGCUGGGCACCUGGCUGCUCUGCUUCUACACAGGU